CUUCCGUAGGGGGAACCUGCGGAAGGAUCAUUAGUGAAUAUAGGACGUCCAACUUAACUUGGAGUCCGAACUCUCACUUUCUAACCCUGUGCACUUGUUUGGGAUAGUAACUCUCGCAAGAGAGCGAACUCCUAUUCACUUAUAAACACAAAGUCUAUGAAUGUAUUAAAUUUUAUAACAAAAUAAAACUUUCAACAACGGAUCUCUUGGCUCUCGCAUCGAUGAAGAACGCAGCGAAAUGCGAUAAGUAAUGUGAAUUGCAGAAUUCAGUGAAUCAUCGAAUCUUUGAACGCACCUUGCGCUCCAUGGUAUUCCGUGGAGCAUGCCUGUUUGAGUGUCAUGAAUACUUCAACCCUCCUCUUUCUUAAUGAUUGAAGAGGUGUUUGGUUUCUGAGCGCUGCUGGCCUUUACGGUCUAGCUCGUUCGUAAUGCAUUAGCAUCCGCAAUCGAACUUCGGAUUGACUUGGCGUAAUAGACUAUUCGCUGAGGAAUUCUAGUCUUCGGAUUAGAGCCGGGUUGGGUUAAAGGAAGCUUCUAAUCAGAAUGUCUACAUUUUAAGAUUAGAUCUCAAAUCAGGUAGGACUACCCGCUGAACUUAAGCAUAUCAAUAAGCGGAGGAAG
rnacentral:rRNA from 1 species